rnacentral:rRNA from 1 species
CCUGCGGGCGGCUGCAGUGGGGGCUAUUGCACAAUGGGGGGAACCCUGAUGCAGCGACGCCGCGUGGGUGAAGAAGCGCCUCGGCGCGUAAAGCCCUGUCAGCAGGGAAGAAAAUGACGGUACCUGAAGAAGAAGCCCCGGCUAACUACGUGCCAGCAGCCGCGGUAAUACGUCGGGGGCAAGCGUUAUCCGGAUUUACGGGGUGUAACGGGGGCGCAGACGGCGAUGCAAGCCAGGAGUGCAAGCCCGGGGCCCAACCCCGGGACUGCUCUUGGAACUGCGUGGCUGGAGUGCAGGAGGGGCAGGCGGAAUUCCUGGUGUAGCGGUGAAAUGCUUAGAGAUCACGAAGAACUCCGAUUGCGAAGGCAGCUUACUAAACAGCCACUGACAUUGAUGCUCGAAAGGGUGGGUAUCAAACAGGAUUAGAUACCCUGGUAGUC